UACGAAGGGUGCAAGCGUUACUCGGAAUUACUGGGCGUAAAGCGUGCGUAGGUGGUUUGUUAAGUCUGUCGUGAAAGCCCUGGGCUCAACCUGGGAACUGCGAUGGAAACUGGCUAACUAGAAUGUGGUAGAGGGUAGCGGAAUUCCUGGUGUAGCAGUGAAAUGCGUAGAUAUCAGGAGGAACAUCCAUGGCGAAGGCAGCUACCUGGGCCAACAUUGACACUGAGGCACGAAAGCGUGGGGAGCAAAC
rnacentral:rRNA from 1 species